rnacentral:lncRNA from 1 species
AUGAAUAUACUAUUUGACCUAACAAAUCAUCAUUUCAUCCAAAGAGUCACAUAUUACUCUUCAAUCUUUUUGUCUUCUUCCUCCCUUUAUCAAAUUUUUUUGUUACUCUUCUUGUUUUACUUGAUCUCAAUUUUUUAUAACUAUUUCUUCCUCCCUUAAUCGGAACCUGACUUUGUUAUUAGUUAUUGGGAAAAAUACAAAAAUAUAAACAAAUUCCUACACAAGCGGAAGCAUACUCAUAAAAAAGAAACAAAAAAUUAAAAAAAAAAAAC